rnacentral:lncRNA from 1 species
GCCAUGUCCUUCGACCAUUGGGGAUAGUUUUUAACAAAGUGCUGAGUACUUUUGCAUUUAUAGCAGGCGUUGUUUAAAUGCCGACAGGGUUGAUCACCAUGAAAGAAUCCACAAUACUGACAUGGUUGGGUAGGUCGGAUAGGGUGUCCAAUAGGUGGAGGAAAAGUAGGAGGAGGGGCAACUCAGGGUCUCUUAUUAGGGUGGCUACUAGCUGGGUCAGAUAAUCUUCUUCUUUGGGGUUGGUGUUGUUGUUGUUGGGUAUAAACUCGGGUAAUGUAUUAGUGCCGAGCUGAGAUAAGUUCUUCAGCUAAUUGGGCAUGUUCCAGCACCUUGGCACAAGAGUUGGGUCUCAACAUCGUGACCUGGUAGUAAAUAUCAGCAGGAAGGCCCUUUAAGAUUUUCCUAACUUUACGACUUUCAGGGGUGACCAUUAGAGGGGAAAACCUAGACAACAGGAUGAAUUGGGCUGCAUAUCGGGCAACCAUUAUAUUUUCUUGACAGAGGUCCUAAAAUUCCUCUUUUUUCUUUUCUUGAACAUAGACAGGGAAGAAGUUUUCAAAGAAAGCAUUCAUAAAACCUACUAAGUGGUAGGGGUGGGUAAAACAUCUUUCUUAAGCCUCCACGAGCGUUUGACUUCUCUGAUUGACAUAAAGACUGAUAGGGGAACCUUUUACUCCUCAGUGAAGUCUAAGAUAGAGAAAAGUUUCUUUAUUUGUAGGAUCUAAACUUUUGCUACUAAGGGGUCGGGGCCUCCUUCGAAGUGAGAUGGGUUUAGUCUCCUAAACUCAGCUAUGCUAUAGGAAAUGGAUCUCUGGGGUGGGUGAUAGUUGGGUGCAGGAGGGUGUUGGCAGUGAUUUACUUGGUUUUGGCCUACAGCUGCGAUUAGACCCUGAAU